AUGGCUACCUAGUAAUUCUUCAUACACAGUACUUAAUUUCAUAUAUUUGUUUUAUUCUUCAAAUUUUAGAAUAGACAUCACUUCAUUCAUACUUAUCUUGUUUGGCUUUCGUUGAAUCAAAGAUAUCAAUGUUUUCAAAAAAACGUAUCUCAUCAGAGUCCUGUAGAAAGGGAGCUGUCCAAAUGCGGUUUUCCAAAUCAGAUCUUGUAAAAAAUUGCUUCGGCCAAUCUGUUUCCUCUUCAGCUAGAAGUAAAGUGCCGUCUUGUUUUGGAAACUUAGUUACAUCCCUGCUUAAUGCAACGUUUACGGCAAUUGCGCCUAAUUCAUCAGCUAGCUCUCUUCUUUUAAAAAAUCUUGAAAGUCGCUUAGGAGUGUUAGAAAACCCUAAAAGAUUUGGUAAGGGAAAAAUAGCAAUAGUAUCCAAAAAUUUUGGUGGAACUUGACCAGUCAACGGACUUGCUUCUAUCAGAGAAGAGUCUACUUCGUUUUUGCUAAUUUUUUUAUCGUUCUUUGUAUCAUUACUAUCCUCUUUGUCAUCUUUGUCAUCUUUUCCUUCUUUCUCUUCUUUCUCCUCUUUAUUAUUGGCUUCCAAUUUUUCUGUUUCAAGUUUUCUUUUCAUAAUAUCGUCGGAAAAUCCAUAUCGAACGCCGUACAGGAACUCUUUGAGGGCAUGCCUUCCUAAUAAAACAAUAGCAGGAGGAUCAACACUUGGUUUUAAAACUGAUAAGAGGUUUUUUUCCGGUUCAGAAACUUCAGAAAUGUUAUGCCUCUUGUUGUAAACCGUCCUCGCUACUUGUUCCAAUAAAUUCCCUUCACCUUUGGACUCCACGGUUUCAAAUUCAAUGGCUGCAGCAUUAAAUAUAGGUCUAAUGUAUUCUUCAAAUUCUUCCCGUGCAACGUAUAUUCCAUCCCCUGGAGGUCCAUGAAGAUAUACCUUCAAUUUUCUCGGUAACUCAAGAGGUGCCAUCGGUUGAUCAGCCAAAUGGCGUACUUGAGAGCAAUACUUUUCAAUUAUUAAAUUUUUCUGACGCCGAUCAUAAUAAAUUGCUCCAGAUAUGCCUGCCACGAAUCCCAAAAAUAUGGACAUAUUUCGACCAGGCAUAUAAGACUUUAUUGUUUUUAACAUUGUGAAAAACAAACCAAAAAACGUAUCUAUCGGUUUCUCCCUCUUUUUAAAGUUCACAACAUGAAAUAUGCGAACUCACACAAAUGAAAUACACACGUUUAUUUGCGAAUCAAUAUAUGGAUUUUCAAAAAGGAAAACUUCUAAAAGUCAAAAUGAAAAUUAAGAAGGUUGUAAUAGUGAAUAUUUGAUUUUUGAAAGAAGUUUUCCACCAACUUCCAAAAUCCAAGUAGUUAAGUAAAUUGGGGUAUGCAAAA